GACGAACGCUGGCGGCGUGCCUAAUACAUGCAAGUCGAACGCAGUGGGGACGGGUGAGUAACACGUGGGUAACCUCCCAUCAGAAGGGAGAACACUUGGAAACAGGUGCUAAACCGCUACUGGUGGAUGGACCCGCGGGGCAUUAGCUAGUUGGUGAGGUAACGGCUCACCAAGGCAACGAUUCAUAGCCGACCUGAGAGGCGGAUCGGCCACACUGGGACUGAGACACGGCCCAAACUCCUACGGGAGGCAGCAGUAGGGAAUCUUCGGCAAUGGACGAAAGUCUGACCGAGCAACGCCGCGUGAGUGAAGAAGGUUUUCGGAUCGUAAAACUCUGUUGUUAGAGAAGCGGUAUCUAACCAGAAAGCCACGGCUAACUACGUGCCAGCCGCCGCGGUAAUUC
rnacentral:rRNA from 1 species